UUUCAGUCUCCAUUUCCCCCACUCCUGCUCCUAGAUGCAAUAAUUUUGAUCCUGUGCACACGGCCUGGGAAGAAGGGAUACCAGCAAAUACAGAAGGUAUGAUGGUGUAUGCCUGGAGUCUCAGUUACCUGAAAAGAUGAGCCAGAGAGAUUUCUUGAGUCCAGGAGUUCAAGUCCAGUCCGGGCGAGAAGAGUAUCAUGGUCCCUGUUUCUCUUUCAUCGCCCAUUCAUGGCCCUGACUCCAAGCAAGAUGAAGCAGCAGUGCCUUCAGGUUCCAUGUGAAGAUCGAAGAACAGGGGCGUGGUCAAAUACUCUUUCCUUUGUUCAAGCUGAACGUUGGCUUUCUGCAAUGAAGCCAAAACGAAAAGACGUUGUAACCAGCUGCUGGGGAAGAGGAGCCUCUUCCAUGGAGCCACGUGCAAGUUGGGAAGGGAACCCAGGGAUGUGGCUUUUAUGUGUUAUCAUCAAUGCUGGGUUGGGUUGUUUGGUGAUAUAUGAGUUUUGCAUACUCUCAUAAGAAACCCCAAUAAACUCAUUG